AAGAGCCUCUUAAUUAAGGCGUUUAAGAAUCUCUAAGAAGCGUCGACGUGCUCAAAAAUUACAUUUUUUUUUUUCUUCUCUCUCGCAAUGAAGGUUGCGAAAUUGAUUGAGAUUUCUCAAUGAUCUGUUGGAAGUGGAGUAGAUUGAUUCGAUUUUUGGUCACCAUUCGUCUGUUCUUGGCCGUUAGCUCAGCCUCUCCACCGAUGGUGGAUCUCAACGGUGACUUUCGGUGAGUUAAUCGACGACUUGGUUAGAUGAAAUCGGAGAGCACCAAAUCGGAGCCUUUCCUUCACUAAUUCGGAGAUGUUCAAUCACCAAUCUCUUUCUCAUAGAUCUGUGAAGAUGUUAUCCGCUUAGAACAAGAUCAAGAAGGAUAAGAAUGCUGAACCAACAGAUUGCCAGGAGCAAGUUGCUCAGGCACAUGGAUAUCUCUCGAAACCGCAAAGUUGUUGUGAUUUAAUUACAUCCCAUUCAGAAGGAUAAUGCGUCCUCCCAAGAAAGGUGCUGCUGUUCAGAGGCCACGUAACAGGACUCUAACCUCUGUUCAUGAAGCAAUGCUCGAAGAUGUUGCUUUCCCCGCUGAGAUUGUUGGAAAGCGUACUUGUUACCGUUUUGAUGGGUCCAAGAUCAUGAAGCUAUUAUAUCAUCUAUGAAAGAGUAAACUCAGAUCUUUCUCUUCAUGAGUUUAAGCUCAUCUUUACCUUCUCUUUUAAAUGUGUAAACAUUUAUGUUCUACUUCAAAUAUUUUUAUUUUGAAAACAAUAUUUUUCAAAAAUAAGAAUCUCAUUAAGAAAUUGACCA